UACGAAGGGGCUAGCGUUGUUCGGAAUCACUGGGCGUAAAGGGUGCGUAGGCGGGUCUUUUAAGUCAGGGGUGAAAUCCUGGAGCUCAACUCCAGAACUGCCUUUGAUACUGAAGAUCUUGAGUUCGGGAGAGGUGAGUGGAACUGCGAGUGUAGAGGUGAAAUUCGUAGAUAUUCGGAAGAACACCAGUGGCGAAGGCGACUUACUGGACACAUAUUGACGCUGAGGUGCGAAAGCGUGGGGAGCAAACAGG
rnacentral:rRNA from 1 species